AAAACUUUCAACAACGGAUCUCUUGGUUCUGGCAUCGAUGAAGAACGCAGCGAAAUGCGAAAGUAAUGUUAAUUGCAGAAUUCAGUGAAUCAUCGAAUCUUUGAACGGCACAUUGCGCCCCUCGGUAUUCCGGGGGGCGUGCCUGUUCGAGCGUCAUU
rnacentral:rRNA from 1 species